AAGUCGUAACAAGGUCUCCGUUGGUGAACCAGCGGAGGGAUCAUUACAGAGUUAUUAUAAACUCCCAAACCCAUGUGAACAUACCUAUCGUUGCUUCGGCAGGUCGCGUCUACCCUGUAAGCUCCUACCCCGGAGCACCCUUACCCGGUAAACGCGGGGAAGCCUGCCGGUGGCCCCCGAAAAAAAAACUCUUGUUUAAUAUUGAAAAUCUGAAUCUAUAACUAAAUAAGUUAAAACUUUCAACAACGGAUCUCUUGGUUCUG
rnacentral:misc_RNA from 1 species